rnacentral:rRNA from 1 species
CCUACGGGGGGCAGCAGUGGGGAAUAUUGGGCAAUGGGCGCAAGCCUGACCCAGCAACGCCGCGUGAAGGAAGAAGGCUCUCGGGUUGUAAACUUCUUUUCUCAGGGACGAAGCAAGUGACGGUACCUGAGGAAUAAGCCACGGCUAACUACGUGCCAGCAGCCGCGGUAAUCCGGAGGUGGCAAGCGUUAUCCGGAUUUACUGGGUGUAAAGGGCGUGUAGGCGGGGACGCAAGUCAGAUGUGAAAACCACGGGCUCAACCUGUGGCCUGCAUUUGAAACUGUGUGUCGUGAGGCCUGGAGAGGCAGACGGAAUUCGUAGUGUAGCGGUGAAAUGCGUAGAUAUUAGGAGGAACACCAGUGGCGAAGGCGGUCUGCUGGACAGCAACUGACGCUGAGGCGCGAAAGCGUGGGGAGCAAACAGGAUUAGAUACCCUGGUAGUC